rnacentral:rRNA from 1 species
GACGCGACCUCAGCUCAGGCGGGGCUACC